rnacentral:rRNA from 1 species
UACGUAGGGGGCAAGCGUUGUCCGGAAUCAUUGGGCGUAAAGAGCGUGUAGGCGGUCCGGUAAGUCGGCUGUGAAAGUCCAGGGCUCAACCCUGGGAUGCCGGUCGAUACUGCCGGACUAGAGUUCGGAAGAGGAGAAUGGAAUUCCCGGUGUAGCGGUGAAAUGCGCAGAUAUCGGGAAGAACACCCGUGGCGAAGGCGGUUCUCUGGGACGGUACUGACGCUGAGACGCGAAAGCGUGGGGAGCGAUCCGG